UACGUAGGGGGCAAGCGUUGUCCGGAUUUAUUGGGCGUAAAGAGCGUGUAGGCGGCCAGAUAGGUCCGUUGUGAAAACUGGAGGCUUAACCUCCAGCGGUCGAUGGAAACCAUUUGGCUAGAGUCCGGAAGAGGAGAGUGGAAUUCCCGGUGUAGUGGUGAAAUGCGUAGAUAUCGGGAGGAACACCAGUGGCGAAGGCGACUUCCUGGCCUGUUCUUGACGCUGAGGCGCGAAAGCUAGGGGAGCAAACGGG
rnacentral:rRNA from 1 species